GACGAACGCUGGCGGCGUGCUUAACACAUGCAAGUCGAACGGUGAAGCGCCUUCCUUUUUGGCGGGUGUGGGUGAGUGGCGAACGGGUGAGUAACACGUGAGUAACCUGCCCCCUUCUUCUGGAUAACCGCAUGAAAGUGUGGCUAAUACGGGAUAUUCUGUGUCUGUCGCAUGAUGGGUUUGGCAAACAUAUUGUUUCGGUAGGGGCUGGGCUCGCGGCCUAUCAGGUUGUUGGUGGGGUGAUGGCCUACCAAGGCGGUGACGGGUAGCCGGCCUGAGAGGGUGGGCGGGGCUGGUGGGACUGGGCGACCGGCCAGACUGGGACGGGGAGCAGGAGUGGGGAAUAUUGCAAAAUGGGAGCAAGGAUGAUGCAGCGACGCGGCGUGAGGGAUGGAGGCCUUCGGGUUGUGAACAUCUUUCGCCAGUGAAGCAGGCCUGCCUCGUUUGUGGGUGGGUUGACGGUAGCUGGAUAAGAAGCGCCGGCUAACUACGUG
rnacentral:rRNA from 1 species